rnacentral:rRNA from 1 species
UACGGGGGGGGGCAAGCGUUGUUCGGAAUUACUGGGCGUAAAGGGCGCGUAGGCGGCCCUCUAAGUCAGACGUGAAAUCCCACGGCUCAACCGUGGAACUGCGUCUGAUACUGGAGGGCUUGAAUCCGGGAGAGGGAUGUGGAAUUCCAGGUGUAGCGGUGAAAUGCGUAGAUAUCUGGAGGAACACCGGUGGCGAAGGCGGCAUCCUGGACCGGUAUUGACGCUGAGGCGCGAAAGCUAGGGGAGCAAACAGG